AUUGAACGCUGGCGGCAGGCCUAACACAUGCAAGUCGAACGAGUGGCGGACGGGUGAGUAAUGUCUGGGAAACUGCCCGAUGGAGGGGGAUAACUACUGGAAACGGUAGCUAAUACCGCAUACCAUCGGAUGUGCCCAGAUGGGAUUCGCUAGUAGGUGGGGUAACGGCUCACCUAGGCGACGAUCCCUAGCUGGUCUGAGAGGAUGACCAGCAACCCGGGUACUGGGACACGGUCCAGAGUCCUACGGGAGGGAGAAGUGGGGAAUAUUGCACAAUGGGCGCAAGCCUGAUGCAGCCAUGCCGCGUGUAUGAAGAAGGCCUUCUGGUUGUAAAGUACGUUCAGCGGGGAGGCGUUACCCGCAGAAGAAGCACCGGCUAACUCCGUGCCAGCAGCCGCGGAAAUUC
rnacentral:rRNA from 1 species